rnacentral:rRNA from 1 species
AACGAACGCUGGCGGCAGGCUUAACACAUGCAAGUCGAGCGCCCCGCAAGGGGAGCGGCAGGCGGGUGAGUAACGCGUGGGAAUCUACCCAUCACUACAGAACAACUCCGGGAAACUGGAGCUAAUACCGUAUACGUCCUUCGGGAGAAAGAUUUAUCGGUGAUGGAUGAGCCCGCGUUGGAUUAGCUAGUUGGUGGGGUAAUGGCCUACCCAGGCGACGAUCCAUAGCUGGUCUGAGAGGAUGAUCAGCCACACUGGGACUGAGACACGGCCCAGACUCCUACGGGAGGCAGCAGUGGGGAAUAUUGGACAAUGGGCGAAAGCCUGAUCCAGCCAUGCCGCGUGAGUGAUGAAGGCCCUAGGGUUGUAAAGCUCUUUCACCGGUGAAGAUAAUGACGGUAACCGGAGAAGAAGCCCCGGCUAACUUCGUGCCAGCAGCCGCCCGUAACAC